AGGAUUCCCCUAGUAACGGCGAGUGAAGAGGGAAGAGCCCAGCACCGAAGCCUGCGCAGGUUUGCUGUUAGGCAAUGUGGUGUUUGGGUCGGCUCGUGGGACCACCACUCCACUCGAAGUCCAGCAUUGAGUAUGGUUACUGGAUUUGGCCCAGAGAGGGUGAAAGGCCCGUACGGUGGAGUGUCAGACAUGUGAGGUGGUUCACCAGGUCGACCUUAGAGUCGGGUUGUUUGGGAAUGCAGCCCAAAGCGGGUGGUAAACUCCAUCCAAGGCUAAAUACUAGCACGAGUCCGAUAGCGAACAAGUACCGUGAGGGAAAGUUGAAAAGUACUCUGAAGAGAGAGUAAACAGUACGUGAAACCGCAUGCAGGUAAACGGGUGGCGUCAAGCUGCAAGCCCAGAGAAUUCAGUCGGCUAGGGUGUUGUGUAUGCGCCUGGCGCAUCUAUCAGUCGGAGUAUGAUUGGGUAGUCCACUAGUAGACAGUGGGCCUGGCCGCAAGUCAGGUAUGUGUACCGGGUGGGUGCCGGAGCAUGCUAUCCGUCUGUGGACUGUCUAGCCGGUGCACUUUCUCUGUGGUGAACACCACGACCGGUGGUACUGCCAGUCUGCCAUGUCCAAGUCGCAUUUGGUAGGUCCUCGCGGCCGAUCGGAUGCGAUCACAGGCAAGUCCAGUAAACGGCGUGAGGGUGCUUCGGCACUUUUACGUGUUAUCGGCUACUGGUUGUCAACGGGCCUGCCUGGUGCUUGUUGUAGCCGGCACUGGGUGGCCCGGUGGGUCAUGGUGGUAAGAAUAACUGUGCAGGGCACUGGAGUUAUCGGCCUCAAAUGCGUCCUGCGUCCACGUUACAAGUGGUGUUUAUGAUGGCUGUGUCGCUUCUGUCUGCUCGGUGCUGAGUGUGAUUGGCGUGUUCCUGCGCAAAGUAGGCCGCCAGUGGCUCGGUCCGGGAUGGGCAGUUGGUGGUGCAGUCGGCGUGGGGUGUGGUGGGCCUAAUAGUCUGUGG
rnacentral:rRNA from 1 species